GACAGAGGGUGCAAACGUUGUUCGGAAUUACUGGGCGUAAAGCGCGUGUAGGCGGCUUUGCAAGUCGGGUGUGAAAGCCCUCGGCUCAACCGAGGAAGUGCGCCCGAAACUGCAGAGCUUGAGUGCCGGAGAGGAUGGCGGAAUUCCCCAAGUAGAGGUGAAAUUCGUAGAUAUGGGGAGGAACACCGGUGGCGAAGGCGGCCAUCUGGACGGUAACUGACGCUGAGACGCGAAAGCGUGGGGAGCAAACAGG
rnacentral:rRNA from 1 species